GUAGGUCUGUCCUGCCCAGUGAUAAUAAUUCAACGGCCGCGGUACCUUGACCGUGCAAAGGUAGCAUAAUCAUUUGCCUUUUAAUUAAAGGCUAGUAUGAAUGGAUCCACAAGAAUAAAACUGUCUCAUUUCUAAAAUAAAUAUAAACUGAUAUCUAAAUGAAGAAGUUUAGAUACUAAUAAAGGACAAGAAGACCCUAUAGAGCUUUAUUAUUACUUAGACAUACUAAUAUAAUAAAUUGAUUGGGACAAUCUUAAGACAUAUAAACCUCUUAUAAUUUAAAUAUACUACACCCUAACUUGUAAAUGAAUAAGCUACCUUAGGGAUAACAGGCUAAUCUUACUAAAGAGAUCACAUUGACAGUAAGGAUUGGCACCUCGAUGUUGGCUUAGUGUAACUAUAGGGUGCAGCCGCCUUAUUAAGUUGGUUUGUUCAACCAUUAAAUCACUACAUGAG
rnacentral:rRNA from 1 species